AUACUUAAAAUGCCAAGUUCGACGAGAGAACCUUCGGGUCUCUAGUGGCGAACGGGUGAGUAACACGUAGGGAACCUGCCCGCGCACCGGGAAUACGCUCUGGAAACGGAGAACAAAUCCCGAUGUACAGGAAGGAGGCAUCUUCUUUCUGUGAAACAUCCUUUCGGGGAUGGGGCGCGGAUGGACCUGCGGUGCAUUAGUUUGUUGGCGGGGUAAAGGCCCACCAAGACGAUGAUGCAUAGCCGGCCUGAGAGGGCGGACGGCCACAUUGGGACUGAGACACGGCCCAGACUCCUGCGGGAGGCAGCAGUAGGGAAUUUUCGUCAAUGGGCGCAAGCCUGAACGAGCGAUGCCGCGUGAGUGAAGAAGGCCUUCGGGUCGUAAAGCUCUGUUGCGGGGGAAAAAAGGCAGCAUCAGGAAAUGGGUGCUGACUGAUGGUGCCCCGCCAGAAAGUCACGGCUAACUACGUGCCAGCAGCCGCGGUAAUACGUAGGUGGCGAGCGUUAUCCGGAAUGAUUGGGCGUAAAGGGUGCGCAGGCGGUCCUGCAAGUCUGGAGUGAAACGCAUGAGCUCAACUCAUGCAUGGCUUUGGAAACUGGAGGACUGGAGAGCAGGAGAGGGCGGUGGAACUCCAUGUGUAGCGGUAAAAUGCGUAGAUAUAUGGAAGAACACCAGUGGCGAAGGCGGCCGCCUGGCCUGUUGCUGACGCUGAGGCACGAAAGCGUGGGGAGCAAAUAGGAUUAGAUACCC
rnacentral:rRNA from 1 species